UCUGUGUGAAGAAGCCGUUGCGGGUAUAAAGCACUUUAGUGAGGGAAGAAACAGCUUGGCCACACCAAGCCUUGACGGUACCUCAAGAAUAAGCACCGGCUAACUCUGUGCCAGCAGCCGCGGUAAUACAGAGGGUGCAAGCGUUAAUCGGAUUUACUGGGCGUAAAGGGUGCGUAGGUGGUUGUAUAAGUCGGAUGUGAAAGCCCGGGGCUUAACCUCGGAACUGCAUUCGAUACUGUAUGACUAGAGUUCGGUAGAGGGCGGCGGAAUUUCCGGUGUAGCGGUGAAAUGCGUAGAUAUCGGAAGGAACAUCAAUGGCGAAGGCAGCCGCCUGGGCCUGAACUGACACUGAGGCACGAAAGCGUGGGUAGCAAACAGGAUUAGAUACCCUGGUAGUCCACGCUGUACACGAUGAGAACUUGCACGUUGGUUCGUUUUACGAAUCGGUGUCGAAGCUAACGCGCU
rnacentral:rRNA from 1 species